rnacentral:rRNA from 1 species
UACGGGGGGAGCAAGCGUUGUUCGGAUUUACUGGGCGUAAAGGGCGCGUAGGCGGCGCAACAAGUCACUUGUGAAAUCUCCGGGCUUAACCCGGAGCGGUCAAGUGAUACUGUCGUGCUAGAGUGCGGAAGGGGCUACUGGAAUUCUCGGUGUAGCGGUGAAAUGCGCAGAUAUCAGGAGGAACACCGGUGGCGAAGGCGGUUCUCUGGGCAUUACCUGACGGCUGAGGAGCGAAAGUGUAGGGGAGCGAACAGG